rnacentral:rRNA from 1 species
GAUGAACGCUAGCGGCAGGCCUAACACAUGCAAGUCGAGGGGCAGCACAGAAACAGCAAUGUUUUGGUGGCGACCGGCGGACGGGUGCGUAACGCGUAUGCAACCUACCUUUAACAGGGGGAUAACGGAGAGAAAUUUCCACUAAUACCCCAUAACAUCGAUCAAGGCAUCUUGAUUGGUUGAAAACUCCGGUUGUUAAAGAUGGGCAUGCUUUGUAUUAGGUAGUUGGUGAGGCAAUGGCUCACCAAGCCUACGAUACAUAGGGGGACUGAGAGGUUAGCCCCCCACACUGGUACUGAGACACGGACCAGACUCCUACGGGAGGCAGCAGUGAGGAAUGUUGGUCAAUGGGGGCAACCCUGAACCAGCCAUGCCGCGUGCAGGAAGACGGCUCUAUGAGUUGUAAACUGCUUUUAAACAGGGAUAAAGCACAGUAUGUAUACUGUGUUGAAGGUACUGUAAGAAUAAGGAUCGGCUAACUCCGUGCCAGCCGCCGCAGUAA